UACAGAGGGUGCAAGCGUUAAUCGGAAUUACUGGGCGUAAAGCGCGCGUAGGUGGUUGAAUAAGUUGGAUGUGAAAUCCCCGGGCUUAACCUGGGAAGGUCAUCCAGUACUGUUUAGCUAGAGUACAGUAGAGGGAAGUGGAAUUUCCGGUGUAGCGGUGAAAUGCGUAGAUAUCGGAAGGAACACCAGUGGCGAAGGCGGCUUCCUGGACUGAUACUGACACUGAGGCGCGAGAGCGUGGGGAGCGAACAGG
rnacentral:rRNA from 1 species